AUUGAACGCUGGCGGCAGGCCUAACACAUGCAAGUCGAACGAGUGGCGGACGGGUGAGUAAUGUCUUGGAAACUGCCUGAUGGAGGGGGAUACCUACUGGCAACGGUAGCUAAUACCUCAUACCAUCAGAUGUGCCCAGAUGGGAUUAGCUAGUUGGUGGGGUAACGGCUCACCCAGGCGACGAUCCCUAGCUGGUCUGAGAGGAUGACCAGCCACCCUAGAACGUAGACACGGUCCAUACUCCUACGUGAGGCAUCAGUGGGGAAUAUUGCACAAUGGGCGCAAACCUGAUGCAGCCAUGCCGCGUGUAUGAAGAAGGCCUUCGGGUUGUAAAGUACUUUCAGCGGGGAGGCGUUACCCGCAGAAGAAGCACCGGCUAACUCCGUGCCAGCAGCCGCGGUAAUUC
rnacentral:rRNA from 1 species